rnacentral:rRNA from 1 species
GUUCAUGGCCAUACCAUCCUGAAUGUGAUUGAUCUUAUCUGAUCUCAGAAACUAAGCAGGGUCAGGCCUAGUUAGUACCUGCAUUGUAGAACAACUGAGGCCUGAGACUAGAGACACUGAACA